rnacentral:rRNA from 1 species
UACGUAGGGCGCAAGCGUUAUCCGGAAUUAUUGGGCGUAAAGAGCUCGUAGGCGGUCUGUUGCGUCGGCUGUGAAAACCCGGGGCUCAACUCCGGGCCUGCAGCCGAUACGGGCAGACUAGAGUUCGGCAGGGGAGACUGGAAUUCCUGGUGUAGCGGUGAAAUGCGCAGAUAUCAGGAGGAACACCGGUGGCGAAGGCGGGUCUCUGGGCAGUAACUGACGCUGAGGAGCGAAAGCGUGGGGAGCGAACAGG